GGGGAAUAUUGGACAAUGGGCGCAACCCUGAUCCAGCCAUGCCGCGUGAGUGAAGAAGGCCUUCGGGUUGUAAAGCUCUUUCGGAGGGGAAGAAAUGGCAACGGCUAAUAUCCGCUGUUGAUGACGGUACUCGAACACGAAGUGCCGGCUAACUACGUGCCAGCAGCCGCGGUAAUACGUAGGGUGCGAGCGUUAAUCGGAAUUACUGGGCGUAAAGCGUGCGCAGGCGGUUUCGUAAGACAGACGUGAAAUCCCCGGGCUCAACCUGGGAACUGCGUUUGUGACUGCGAGGCUAGAGUACGGCAGAGGGGGGUAGAAUUUCCUGUGUAGCGGUGAAAUGCGUAGAUAUAGGAAGGAACACCAGUGGCGAAGGCGACCACCUGGACUGAUACUGACACUGAGGUGCGAAAGCGUGGGGAGCAAACA
rnacentral:rRNA from 1 species